CAAUAGCGUAUAUUAAAGUUUUGCGAAAGCUCGUAGUUGGAUUUCUGCUGAGGACUUUUACUUUGAGGAAAUUAGAGUGUUUCAAGCAGGCGCACGCCUUGAAUACAUUAGCAUGGAUUAUUAAGAUAGGACCUUGGUUCUAUUUUAAUGGUUUCUAGAUCUGAGGUAAUGAUUAAUAGGGAUAAUUAAAGUUAUUCUUAUUUAACUGUCAGAGGUAAAAUUCUUGGAUGUGUUAAAGACGGACUACUGCGAAAGCAUUUGCCAAGAAUGUUUUCAUUGCUCAAGAACGAUAGUUAGGGGGAUCGAAGACGAUCAGAUACCGU
rnacentral:rRNA from 1 species